rnacentral:rRNA from 1 species
UACAGAGGCCCCGAGCGUUGUUCGGAUUCAUUGGGCGUAAAGGGUGCGUAGGCGGUGGGGUAAGUUGGAUGUGAAAUCUUGGGGCUUAACCUCAAAAUUGCAUUCAAUACUGCUCCGCUCGAGUUCUGUAGAGGAGAUUGGAAUUUACGGUGUAGCAGUGAAAUGCGUAGAUAUCGUAAGGAACGCCAGUGGCGAAAGCGAAUCUCUGGGCAGCAACUGACGCUGAGGCACGAAAGCGUGGGGAGCAAACAGG